AACCAAUUGGGUCAAGACCCAAC
rnacentral:snRNA from 1 species